AUAAUGGGUCAGCGACUUACAUUCAGUGGCAAGGUUAACCGAAUAGGGAAGCCGUAGCGAAAGCGAGUCCGAAUAGGGCGAUUCAGUCGCUGGGUGUAGACCCGAAACCAGAUGAUCUAUCCAUGGCCAGGUUGAAGGCACGGUAACACGUGCUGGAGGACCGAACCCACUAAUGUUGAAAAAUUAGGGGAUGAGCUGUGGAUAGGGGUGAAAGGCUAAACAAAUCUGGAAAUAGCUGGUUCUCUCCGAAAACUAUUUAGGUAGUGCCUCAAGUAUUACUGCGGGGGGUAGAGCACUGUUAUAGCUAGGGG
rnacentral:rRNA from 1 species